rnacentral:rRNA from 1 species
UCGCACCUACCGAUUGAAUGUUUCGGUGAAAAUUCCGGACCGUAGCAUUGUGCUCUUCAUUGAGCGCAAAGUUGUGGGAAGCUAUUUAAACCUCAACAUUUAGAGGAAGUAA